rnacentral:rRNA from 1 species
GCAAGUCGAACGAGCCGACCAAUUGGGUAACUAAUAGGUUGGUUAGUGGCGCCCGGUUGAGUAAUGCAUAAGUAACGUACCCCGGGCCCUGGAAUAGCUGCGGUCUUCGGACCUUUAGCGAAAGUGCAGGUAAUACCGGAUGAUAUCUUUGGGUCGUAUGGCUCUUAGAUCAAAGGUUUCGGCCGGCCUGGGAGCGGCCUAUGUCGUAUCAGCUUGUUGGUAGGGUAACGGCCUACCAAGGCAGCGACGCGUAGCGGGACUGAGAGGUUGACCCGCCACAUCGGGACUGAGACACUGCCCGGACCUCCACGGAGGGCUGCAGUAACGGAUAUUGCGCAAUGGGCGAAAGCCUGACGCAGCGACGCCGCGUGUAGGAUGAAGUCUUUCGGGAUGUAAACUGCUGUCAGGGUGAAGAAAGGUACGAUUCGUCGUAUUUGAUCGAUCCCAGAGGAAGGCCCGGCUAACUUCGUGCCAGCAGCCGCGGUAAGACGAAGGGGCCAAGCGUUGUUCGGAAUUACUGGGCUUAAAGAGCGCGUAGGCGGGAAGUUAAGCGUCCUGUGGAAUCCCUCGGCUUAACCGAGGAACUGCGGGGCGAACUGGCUUUCUUGAGGCAAGUAGGGGUGCAUGGAACUCUAGGUGGAGCGGUGAAAUGCGUAGAUAUCUAGAGGAACGCCCGUGGUGAAAACGGUGCACUGGGCUUGUCCUGACGCUGAGGUGCGAAAGCGUGGGGAGCGAACGGGAUUAGAUACCCCGGUAGUCCACGCCGUAAACGAUGUCUACCAGGUCGCGGUGGUUCUGACACUGUCGCGGCCGAAGCAAAGUGUUAAGUAGACCCGCCUGGGGAGUACGGUCGCAA